GGAAGAGGCAGGAGUGAUCGGAUUUUUAAGUGUCGCGCCGUGAUGUGUGUUUAAAGUUGAGUUAGCUAAAUACGAGUGCUAAGUUGUUCCGUGUAGCUACUAGUUUUGUGCGUGUGUAUAAAUUGUGCAGGUUUGUGGCAUUCUGCGAAACCCCACACAUCGCACCCCAAAGCCAACGAUCGCUUCUGACCCCACCGUCAGCUACGAGGGUUUUCCCGGAAGUACGUCGACCGGAAGAGGGCUUGCGUACGUUUCAUCGCGCCCUAGGCAGAGGUUGCAGUCAUCCGAGUUCAUCGUCAAAUUGCGCCAACUGUCGGUAGUUCAUCAACGCCGC